GGUAGGUCUCUGGUGAUGCAUGCCGGAAUUGGCUCCCUCCUCUCUCGUUCCGGGGUGUGUCUCCUGAGAACCGCC
rfam:Myotis davidii contig110974, whole genome shotgun sequence.